rnacentral:misc_RNA from 1 species
UACGAAGGACCCGAGCGUUAUCCGGAUUCAUUGGGUUUAAAGGGUGCGUAGGUGGGAUGGUAAGUCAGUGGUGAAAGCCUACAGCUUAACUGUAGAACUGCCAUUGAUACUGCUAACCUUGAGUACAGCUGAUGUGGGCGGAAUAUGACAUGUAGCGGUGAAAUGCUUAGAUAUGUCAUAGAACACCGAUUGCGAAGGCAGCUCACAAAACUGUUACUGACACUGAUGCACGAAAGCAUGGGGAUCGAACAGG